GCUCGUAGUUGAAUCUAGUCGUGUCCGUUGGGUUUGUCGUUGGCGUUUAUUCGUCUUUGGCGUUAAUUCACGGCCGAUUUUUGCUGGUUUGCUGUUGGUCUUCGGAUCUUCGGUGGCUAGCGAGUUACUUUGAUCAAAUCAGAGUGCUCAAAACAGGCGAAAGCUUGUAUGAUUUCUCGAGGAAUAACAGAAGAGGACUUCGGUUCUAUUUGUUGGUUCCAGAAUCGUUUAAUGGUUAAGAGGGACAAUUCGGGGGCAAACGUAUCCUCGCGCGAGGGGUGAAAUCCGUAGACCGUGAGGAGACGACCAAUAGCGAAAGCAUUUGCCAAGAAUGUCUCCAUUAAUCAAGAACGAAAGUCAGAGGUUCGAAGGCGAUUAGAUACCGCCCUAGUUCUGACCGUAAACUAUACCAGCUCAUGACAAGACGGGUCGUAAUGUCCUCGUCGGGUCGCCCCCGGAAACGAAAGCUUUCGGUU
rnacentral:rRNA from 1 species